UACGUAGGGGGCAAGCGUUGUCCGGAAUCAUUGGGCGUAAAGAGCGUGUAGGCGGCCAGAUAAGUCCGCUGUGAAAACUCGAGGCUCAACUUCGAGCUGUCGGUGGAAACUAUUUGGCUAGAGUCCGGAAGAGGAGAGUGGAAUUCCUGGUGUAGCGGUGAAAUGCGCAGAUAUCAGGAAGAACACCCGUGGCGAAGGCGGCUCUCUGGGCCGUAACUGACGCUGAGGAGCGAAAGCAUGGGGAGCGAACAGG
rnacentral:rRNA from 1 species